CAGCAACAGCGAGGCUCUCUUCAAGGCUUACCCCAUCAUAACCACAAUCAUGAUCCCAACCAUGCGUAUCCAGUACUGGCCUAGCAAGAAACUGUGAGGUAGUCUCUAGAAAACGGUAUCGAUACGAUGGGGCGUCACAGUCAAAAGAAGGGGGCAAUACCAUAUCAGGCAAAGGGACUGGUACAGUUGCAGGGGCAUUAUCCUGAUCAAAAUCUUCGACCAUAUCAACAUGCCCAAAAUCAUCCUUCAACACUUUCUGUCCAUUCUUCAUCUCUUUCAAUCGUCUGAGCUCCUCCUUCCACUGUUUUUUCUGAAGAAGCUUAACUCGGUAAUCAUACUCAUCAAAAUAUGAUCUUCUUUGCUCCUUGGUCAGCUUGGCAAUUUGAGACUUGCUCAGGGGCUUAAAUGGUGGAAGUUGAUCAUACUCUUCUUCUUCUUCCCCUUGAUCAGCAUCUGAUAAGUCAUCUAGGUCAAUAUCAGAAUCUUCAUUGUCACCAUGAUGAUCGGAUGGAAGUUUUGGGUGUGCUCUGGACUGCAACAGAGAAGAAAGCAGGAAGGGAAGCGGUGGAGGACGUAGACGGAGACCAAACAGUUUUCCGGGAGAAGGAUCUUGAAGCUUUAGAAGUGAAUUAGCUUGAGAUAAUAUCUUUGAAGAGUAACAGAGCAGCAGCAUCUGUGAUCUCCAUGACAGACCAUUAGGGAGCACUUUUUGUCCCUCCCUGUUCUUUCUACAAGAUGGAUGGUUCUCAACAAGAGCCACUGGAUUCAUCAGGCGCAUGUCUCCAGCUGCUAGCCUUAUGGACUGCUGAACAGCAUGAGACCUUUGGGCCACGAACACCUCAUAGCUCAAAGGGGAACCACUUGGUCCAUCAGGAGGGGCAGACGCAGCAUGUGCGAGAGCGACAAUGGCAUUGAACCAUAUGGAUGAACCCAAAGUGCUAGUAAUUGUUCUUAGCAGAGGCAAGUCAUUCUGAUCUCGGGUCAGUGUGUCCAUGCGGUCCACAUACAAAACAAUGUCUGGAGGGCAUCUCUUUGUGUAUUUCUUUAUGGAUGCCAGGAUUCUCCUGCUUGAUGCUUGGUCCAUUCCUGAAGCUCUAAGACCUGGAGUAUCUAAAACCCGAAUCUUAACCCCCUCCACGGUUCCUACAAUCUCUUUAACAGAAGUUGUUGCUGGUUCAAAUGCACUGGUUGGAGACUUCUCUUCACCAAAUAUAGAAUUUACAGUUGCACUCUUGCCCACUCCACUCUUUCCUAGGACAAGAAUGUUACAGGAAAAGUCCAAAUCUUCAGUUCCAUCUUGUUCUAGCAGCAAAGCCUUCUUUUUUGCACUCUCAAGACUAUAAGCCUGGCCAGUUUGCCUUCCACUACGAAUACCUUCCGCAAGACUCAGACGAUAUAGCACCUGGGCUACCACCGUGUCUUCAGGUGAAUGGCCCAACCUAUGAACAAGACGUAGAAACUUCACCCUAAUAAGCUCAACUUUCUCAUGCAACUGUUUUUGUUCCUUGGUCAUUUGAUCAUCAGGCUCUGCUGCUACAGCCAGUUCAGAAGGACUAAGAAGGUUUGAUCGUGCAGGACGGGGAAGAGUAGGUUUCAGAGAUGGAAUUGAGGACCCCAGACCAGCUGGACGGUCAACCAAGAAGAUUCUAUUAGCAUCUUGAGAAGUGACACUGAUACCUCCAUCAUCAGUGGAACUGCUUGCCGCUUUCAGAAGCGCAAUCAAUGCAUCAGAAUCGAUCAUUGCAUGUCUUCCAUCCUCCUCGUCAGUCACCAACUCUUCAUCUGAAUCCAAAAUAAUCUGGCCGUCUACAUCCUUUGAGUCAUCUGACACUGAAUGAGGGGUGACACUAGAAGAGCCUUCUUCUAAUUCACUCAUCAGCUGUUUUGCAGUUUCUGAGCUCGUCGAUAUUGCCACCCUAGGUGGUCCAUCAGAAACUAAGUUUUCGUCUUCGUCCUCUGCCUUCUCCUGGUCAAGGUCUUGCACAUGAUCAAUCAAAUCUUCACUCGGUGUUGGUUCUGGUUCUGUAACUGAAGUUGGUAAUUGAGCAAGUGCAUCUUCAUUCACACCAGAAGCCCCAAAGUCAUCUCCUUCAGUCACCCUGUUUCUUGAUUCCCCAGCAGUGAUAGAUGGAGAUUGCCUAUCUUGGGCUGAUAUUGAAUUUUGCCCAUCUGGAACCAAUUCAGGCACAGGCUCAUCAUUGUUUGCCUCAGUUCCAUUUGCGGUUCGAUUCGAUUCAUUUGUUAGCUUCUCAUCCACUAUCUCCUGAACAGAACGCUCACUAGAGACAGUUUCACCAUCACUAGCUGUAUCCACUUUCUCCUGAAUAGAAGGCUUACUAAAGACAGUUUCACCAUCACUCACUGUAUCAUCUUUGUUAGCAGAACUUUCACCGGACUUACUAUCUGCAACUUCAUGAUUCUCACUCAAAUCAUUUUUCCUCAUAUUUGAUCCAUCAAGCUUUCCGGUUGAAACAUAGACCAUCAUAGUGUCCACACCGGAAUAACUCUGUAUUAAAUUUUCGUUCAUCUCUUCGUCAUUUACUCCAUGAGUUGAUUUGGAUGAUUCAUCUACUGUUUGAGAAGCAGGAGUACUUCCUUGGUUGACACAUUGAUCAGAAUCGGCAUUUUCAGAAGUGCCAAUGUCCACCUCGCUGAUAUCAGCUUUGUCUCCGCCCGUCCCUUUAGCAGGUUUUCCCAAUUUCUCGACCAAGCCUCCAUCUUUCUCCGGAGCAUCAGGGUCUACUUGCUCCUCAUUCCUAUCCACAUUUCCAGCGGCAGCAGUCCCAUCCUCGACUGGGUUAUCCUCAAUGCUCAAAGUGGGAGCAACCCCAGCAAUGUCAAUGUUCACCUCUUCCAUCCCAGCUUUGCCUCCGUUUUUCUCUUCUUCGGCGGUAUCAAACUUGUCGUUUGCUGUCUUUGACUCCAGUAGCACAUCAAUAACAGGCCUAGCAGAUUCUCCCAAUUUGUCGACCAAACUUCCAUCUUUCUCCUGAGCACCAGGGUCUGCACGCUCCUCAUCCCUAUCCACAUUGCCAGCUGCAGCAGUCUCAUCCUCGACUGGGUUCCCUUCGAUGCUCAAAGUGGGAUUCUCCACAGUCUCCAUCUCCCGUGCGGCACGUAUACAAAUUGGGUAGACAUUUUGAUCGGAAACUGCGGCAACGCCAACUUUCACGUCAUCCGCAACAUCAGGUUCGGCUACAUGUCUCUCUUCCUCAACCGCACCAAUAGUAGGGGUAGCAGACUCUCCCGAUUCCUCGACCAAGCCCUCAUCAUUCUCCUCGUGAGCAUCGUGGAGUCCGAGCUCCUCGUCGCCAUCGACAGAACCAUCCCCGAUUGGCUUCGUUUCGGUGCUUUGCGAAGUGGAAUUCUCCGUCGACUCUUUCACCACAGCCGACAAAACCUCACGAUGUGAGGUCUCCUCUGUCCUAGGGAUUUCACUUGACAGCAUUUCCACGGUCUCAUGUUGGGAAUUGCCUUGGACGGUGGCCAAAACCUGAGUCUCCGAUGGGGGCUCACCUUUCUCCUCUCCUUCCAUGAGUUCACCAUCAUUCAAUGAUCCUGAAGCUUUAGCGGCAUCCGAGAACCCAUCGUCGUCCCCAUAUUCCAGCGCCUCCUGGAACGCCUCCUCGUCCGGGUCGUCGUCCGGAGUCUCCUGUGCUACAGGCAUCGAGGAGGUGGUCGUCAAGGUGCCUCCGGCCGCGGCCGAGGCGGGGGCCGAGCCGUCACUGCUCUCCUUUUCCGGUUCCACGGCGGCACGGGGAUCCCCGUCCCCUCCUGUGUCUCCGUCGGGUUCGCUCGUCAUCGGGGCUUCCUUGGCUUCCGACGAGACUGACGCGCCGCUCACCUCGGACGCCAUCGGUAAGGAGGGGAGCGACGAGACGACCCGAAGGAGCGGAAAAGAAGGCAGAAAGAGUUCUACAAGCCGAGUGACGAGCGUCUAAUGACCGAAUGGGGUUGGGAAGUGAUAAGGAGAGCGGGCGGCAUGAGAUCAGAUAAGGCAGGGAGGCGAGCGUUCUGUUUUUGCCCUUUUCCUGAACAAUUUUUUUUUCUCUAUAUACAGAAUAAUGUAGUUUGGGCCAUUGAUGGCAGCCCAAAAGUAAAUUUGGGCUUUCAAUUUCCUCACCGUAUGAUGUCAUAGAUUGGGUUAUUUACGAUGGUGUGUUGAGAACGCUCGGGUAUCGGCCAUCCAAACAUUGUAAGGGAUCUAACCAAAAGCACAUUUUCGACUCUAAUCAAUUGAAUCUGUUUGGACGGAGUAAUGUACUGCGAUUUUGUUUGAAUCAAAAAAAUACGUUUGUUCGAAAAACAAAGAUAAAUUAAUUAUCUUUUAUGUUCGUUUUGGUUGUCCCACUGAUUUGUUUGUUGUGCCCUCAUAUCAAUUUGCUAGGAUCAGAUCAGCAUCUUCCAUUAGGUGGUUUAUUUAUGCCUUGAUGAUUUGCUACCAUCAAAUUACUUUGAUUGAUUGGUUGAUCACUAAAAUUUUCUAAAUACUAAAAAUAUCUAAUGCCUAUCGAAGCUGAAACUUUAAUAAGAGUAGACAGAUGGCAUUGUACGUGAUUUUAACGAUUACGAGUAUGAAAUCUCAUCUCAUUUCAGAUGUAAACUUUUCCCAAAAAUAACAUUUGAUUCGAUGCACUAAACUAAGUCGGUCAUCAAGAGGUAAUACACCGUGCUCAUCUUUCCCUCUCCGCGGCAGCCGUCGUCGCUGCUCUCUCGUUUUUUCCUUCGUCGCCCUCACAUCACAUGCUCUCCAUGGAGGUGGGGACGAUAUAGGAGUAAGUCUCAUCAUUUGAUCUACUUGGUUCUAAACUACAAUUUUUAUUUCUAAUAAUAUCAAUCCGUACAUGGUGUGAGAAUAUGUAUUAAACAAUAAUAAUAAUACUUUUAUUGCAUGAUUAAUCACCGAUCGAGAUAUCAACAUGUUAUGGCCAUAGGGCAUACCUGGGUGAGGUUCCUGCUGUAGUGUAGAUCCAGCCGCCGGCCUUUAGCAGGUUUGAUUAGGAAACUCAUGGCGGAGCAUUGAAUGAUGGACGGUGACCUGAAUCCUCGUGCGGGAGUCAAAACCUGAGAGAGAUGAAAGAAAAGAGUUAGUUCAUCAUCGGAAGCAACAAUAUUUAAAGAGUUUUCCUGAUUAACCACUUAAUCGAUCAAGAUUGAUACAAGUUUGCUUAUCUGCGUUAUUCUUUCCGAUGCACAGUCCUCCCACGCCCUAAAGAGCUCGCAGUAGUAGUAUGUCGCCCUCGUCACCAUCUUCCCCCUCCGCUCGCUCCCUCGCCAUGUCUUAUGCUGGACCAGAUUUUUUUUUGUUUUGCUACAGGGAUUUGGAACCUAAUUCCAUAUCAUUAAUCUCCUCUGUCCACGGUCACAGUAAGGAUAUUAUUCAUACGAGAGGGAGGGAAUCAGUGUACAUGCUAACAGAUGAUUAGAAUGUCAAACCAUUUAUUUAAAACACAUCCCUACGAGAAAAUUUAAAUUUAUGGAGCAAUUUUGAUUGUGAAAAGGAGACUUGGUUAGAGCUAAGUCGAGGAGGUCAUGAAGCGUGAACAUGAGUCAUCCUUCUCAUUGGACGGAAUAGCAGUGUUCUAUUCAAAUCGACUACAUGGUUCUAUAACAUCUCAAAUUGUUCAUCAAAAUGGGUGUUGUGCAUUAUCCGAAUAUGUCAAAACAUGGGCCAAAACAGAUACAAAUACCAGAAUGACUAAACAACUCUUUUCGGAUAUAAAUCUAAAAUGUCCAGCACUUAUUCGGAAAAGAGAAAAGACACUGCCGAAAUAAGAACUUGAAAAGUAGAGAGUUUUCCUCUUAGAAUAUAAAAAAAAGUACCAAGCUCCACCGGUUAGAUGAUAACAGAGACCCAGGAAUUCAACUCCACAGCUAGCCCAGACUGACAUCUGAAAAUAUAAUGAGGGAAGCAUAAUGAGAAUACAAAAUAAACAAAGAUUUCUGAAUUAGAGUCUCAACUUAUUCUAAUAUAAAAAGAGUGCUUCGGAAAAAUACACAAUCAAUCAUAAGCCUCCAACACAAAACAGUCAGUUUUUAACCAACCAACACACCGUUGCUGUUAGCGAGCUACACGAAAAACUGAACUACUAAGCAAAGAAAGUUGGUUUAGGCUUCACGUCUCGGAAACAAACUGACCUGCUGAUGAAAUCAUGAAAUGAGAAAUGUACAGCACAACUUGUCCCAUCAGUGCAUAGAGAUAAUAUCAUGUUUGGCAUUUACAAUUAAAUCUUCCAGACCACCAAGAACCCAAGAACAUACAAAUCAAAUAAAACUACCAGCAUAUGAUACCAAAAGAAAAAUGAUCAGAUUGGAUCUUGACAAUGCAUCUUACCAAAAGACAACAGUAAGAAAUUUAUCAAAGAGAAGCCAAAACAAACCACACAAUGAAUGAGACGGAGGAGAAACAUGUGCUAUGGCCCAAGAGAUUCUGACCUACCAUUGCAAUUUGCAUAAUUCUAUUGCAAACAAUGUUUUUUAUUCGAAUUCACUAUUUUCAUGGAAAUUUGUGGUUGAACAAUAGCCUUGAAAAGCAUGACGAUAACUUGGCCUUUAAGUUGCAGCAGGGUCAUCACGUGUGACCCAUGUCAACCGGCACAGCAAUGCUUGUUUACAAACGUCUAUCUCAUCUUGCCAAAAAGAAUGAGUAUUUCCAUUUUGACAUGAAGUAAAUUAUGACAAGUUACGAAACUGGUUAUUAUCAUGGAAAUUUGCCACUGAGCUUGCGAGGAGUGUUUGUGCACAAACAUGCAUCUGAUCAUCUCUUAUCAGACAAACCUUUUCUAAUCUGCAAUAGAAGGAAGGCUUUUUUAUGGCUAGAUGCAUUUUCCUCUCAUCUUAUGAAGCACUAGAAAGAUAGUCCAUUAUUAACAAAGGAAAAUCCAAGUUGGAUAAAAGAAUAUUUAAGCCCCUAUCAAUUAAAAUUUCUUUAACUUUUCGUUCUCCGAAUAGAUUGUAUCUAUCAUUCUAGUUUGCAUAACAUUUAGGUCCAAACUCAAAAUUUUUUAUUUGGUAACAAGUAGUUUUCAUAAACUUUUAGAGAUAAUCAGAAAUUUGUUUAAAUUCUUUGCAAAGCUGUCUUCCUUGUGUCAACCUCUUAGCAGCCAUUCUUGGUUGGCAUGUUUUCCCUCCUUUUUAUAAAAAUAAGGUACAAAAAUUUCUGAACUUCUUCCAUCACUAAAUCAAGGUGACUAGUUCAAAAUAUCACAAUAUACCUACAUCUCCAACUUUCAAGACCAAAGGAAACCAAACAAUUUUUUCCCUAAAUCAGAGAUGCCUAUUACAAAGAAAAGCUAUAGAUGAUUUUCCAUUGACAACACAUAUUGUUCCAACUAUAUUUGGGAAGGCUACAUGAAUUUUUAUCCACCAUUAAACUCUGUGUAAGGAAAUAUCUUUAGUUAAAUCAAAGCACAUUCAAACCUUUUUUUGUUGUUUCUAUGAAAGUCUAACUAUAUCAUUCUUUACCUCUCAUCGCUGAAAUCAUCAUAAUUGACUCAACUCAUCUUCCCAUAACUUUGAUGUCUUCUUUGGACAUGUCACAAAAUAAAAAAUUAUAUGUAAACCAAACACCAAAGAAAUUUUUAACCAAAUUAUUAACAGACUCCGCCUAUCCAUCCAUCUUGGCCAAAAUUGCAAAAGAAUAUUCUAUUUAUUUUAGCUGCUAUCCCAGCAAACUUUAAAUAAUAAGAUAAAUAAUGAUGUACUCCAAGAAAGAACUCUACCAAACAAUGUAAAAGACAAUGAAUGCUUUUUAUUAUCCUAACUAAAUAGCCUUAUUAACAAAAAAAGGAGAUAAAUUGAACAUGUCAAUAGCCAAACAAAUUUCUUAUGGAACUAUGCUUGCUGUAGUAAAUAUGGAUCUGGAUUCAACCAAAUGUUAGUGGCAAAGAUAGUUUUCUUUGAAAGAAAAUAAGCAGGUUAUUGUAAUCAGCAGGGUUCAGCUUAGAACUACAUCGGUGUGCAAAGCAAAAUACCAAUUCUUUGAUUUCAUAGUGGACUGCUAGCAGCACUGAUAGGACAGCUCAAGCUCAUAACCAACAAUCUUCUAUUUUCGAAGCAAACUGAGGUGAAUGUGAGUAAUUAUUUUCCAGUUAUAAACUGAUAGCUAUAAACGAAAUAACUGAUUUAAAAAUCCUCAUUACACAAGAAAAUAGCUAAUGUUCACAGAUUGAUUACCAAAAUCAUUAAUAAUGGAAAUAGUUCGCUUAAAAUUCAAAGGUCAACUGACACAUUCAGCAUCAGAACAGUCCAAAACAAGCUACCUCAGAGCACACAAGCAUGAACGCCUUUAGCAUUAGAAGAACAAAAAAAUAAUGCACUUAUCUUACAUAUGAACUAAAUUGAAAAUGAACUAUUCCUGCUUUUAUUCAAACUUAGUUCUACAACCAAGUAUCAUAAUCCUAAGAAAUCAUGGACCAAAAUUAAUUUGAGAACUGCAAAUAUUAAUAGAUAGAACAUAAAGAGGCUACAAAAGAAGUUAUGCUGAAACUGGAGAGAGUUAAAGUGUCUUAUUCCACUGAUAUUUUUAAGACAGUAGACUCACCGGGCUUCAUGCUCCGGAAGAUAGAGAUUGCAAUGGGUAUGAUACCCACGAGUGCAAGUUGAAGUUGUUCAGAGGUGCUCGUCCUGACAGUGAUCUGCCCAGUCCGCUUGUUGUUCAGCCCAACGCGAACUGCCAUCUUUGAAUUCCUCCCAAUGGAGAAUUGAGACUGCAGGUUUGCACCCAAAGCCAAAUCACCAUGCCAACUCAUCAAAGAUAACCCCAAGGUGGCAAGGGCUUGGCUUAUGGGAUAAUCCUUAUCUCGGAGUCGCACCUCCAAAUUGGCUCCAUAUGCAGUAUAACCUUGUGCUCGAACAGCACCAGUGCUUGCAACAAGAUUCACUUGCUUCCCAAUAGAAAGUUGGUCUUCAAACUUUAAUCCAGUAGCUAUGGUUUCCCCCAAGAAAGUUACGGAGAUCCCUCCAGUAGUCCUGUUCUUUUUCAAUAUCUUGGACUUGGUCUCACCCCGCAGAAUGUAAGCAAGUUGCUUUCCAACAGCCUGGAUAUCAAAGCCAGCGAGAGUAGAACCAUUUUCCCCAUGCUUGGCCGAGACAGAGGAAUCUAAAUGGAUGCUGAAUUCCUUUUUGUCCUUAGUCACUUGAGCUGAUAAGACAGCAGGAAAUCGGCCAGCAACAGCGAGGCUCUCUUCAAGGCUUACCCCAUCAUAACCACAAUCAUGAUCCCAACCAUGCGUAUCCAGUACUGGCCUAGCAAGAAACUGUGAGGUUGGCUCUAGAAAACGGUAUCGAUACGUUGGGGUAUCACAGUCAAAAGAAGGUGGCAAUACCAUAUCAGGCAAAGGGACAGGUAUGGUUGCAGGGGAAUUAUCCUGAUCAAAAUCUUCAACCAUAUCAGCAUGCCCAAAAUCAUCCUCAAACCCUUUCUGUCUAUUCUUCAUCUCUUUCAAUCGUCUGAGCUCCUCCUUCCACUGUUUUUU
rnacentral:lncRNA from 1 species